AAUUCAUAUGUAAAUAAAGCAAAAUUUAAAAUAUGCAAAAAGUUAGCUCAGAUAAGUUCCGUAGAAUUUGCAGCAUGUAAGAAUAGCUUAAAGCAAUGUGGUAAUAAUGCUGGGUCAGAGAAUUCUUAUAUGAUUCUAAUGUUUUACAGCCAAAUCAGAGCUGGUUUUGUAUCUCCAUGCCAACUAUUUCCAAUGUGCUCUUGAAAAUUUUAGGAAAGCUUGACAGCACUUUAUGAUAACUAUUUAAUAUUUGCCUUGAUAAUCAUGAAGGAUUGGCAUUGCAUCCAUCAACUGUGGAAGGAUAAGACAUCAGCAUGGAUAAAUUUGUUUAGCAGAGAGAUCUUUUAUGUCUCCAACUGCAAGCAAGAAACUGUACCAGUGCUCUCAAAGCCUAUUUUUGUGCUUACUAGGCUUGUUGCUGGUUCGAGAAUUAAUCAUAAGAGUAGCCAAGUAUACAGCUAGGUAAGGGCACACCCUCCCAGUGGAAUGCGGCGACAGAAGGCAACAGGCUGGAUAAUCUGUAACUAAUGGUGGAUACUGGGCAGAAGGAAACAGGAUGGAUAAUCUAUAACUAAUGGUGGAUACUGGUGUCCGGAGCUCAAGAUUGUAAAUAAGAUUCCGAAUCUUCGUACUGCAAGAUAGGAAUCAGCUUGCUGUCUCUCAUCCUGGAACAUAGGGUUUGGUUUUUCUGUUUCAUAUGGUGGGCUUUGGUUAAUGUAUUUCUGAGCCUUUGUGCUUGCUAGCUUGUAGAAUUGCUUGUAACCCUCUAAUAAAAAUUGCUGGCAGAGAGCUAUUCGGUGGCA
rnacentral:lncRNA from 1 species